UACGAAGGGGGCUAGCGUUGCUCGGAAUCACUGGGCGUAAAGCGCACGUAGGCGGAUUGUUAAGUCAGGGGUGAAAUCCUGGAGCUCAACUCCAGAACUGCCUUUGAUACUGGCGAUCUCGAGUCCGGGAGAGGUGAGUGGAACUGCGAGUGUAGAGGUGAAAUUCGUAGAUAUUCGCAAGAACACCAGUGGCGAAGGCGGCUCACUGGCCCGGUACUGACACUGAGACACGAAAGCGUGGGUAGCAAACAGG
rnacentral:rRNA from 1 species